GUAGUGAGUUACGGGGACGUAACUUUUCUUUUAAGGGGGGAAGAAUGCGAUAGAAUUUCGCGCUUUCACCCUAAAGUAUGUUAAUUAUGUUGAUUAUGUUAGUUAUAUGCUAGUUAUGUGUGAAAAUUGCUUAUCUAUUGUGUGAACGUUAGAAAACGCUUGUGAAAUUUGGGACUUAGAAGUGCAAAAGAUCGUCGUUAAGACGGGCUACCUCAAAGUUUCGGGACGAAACUUCUUUUAAGGGGGGAAGCCUGUAAUACUCCGUAUUUUUAUACUAAUUUCGUACUAAUUAAGAAAAUAUAAAAGAAUUAAUAAAAAGGUAUUUUAAUUUUAUUUACAAGUUAAUAGGAAUAAAUUAUUAGUAAUAUGAAUUUGUUAGGAAUUUCCGGAAUUUUUAAAAAAAGAGUAACCUAAUCGACCUAGGGUUACUACCUUUUGGAAGGGAGUAAAAAAAGAAAAGGAGAGGGAAUUUCAGAAAACCCUAACCCUUUCUUCUCCCUCUCUCCCAGCCGACUUUUCUUCUUCCACUCUCUCUCCUCAGCCGAUUUUCAUACCCUUCUUCUCUCUCUUUCGAAUUUUUUCUUCUCCUCUCUCUCAGAUCUCUCUCUCUCGGGUUUCUCUCACUGUCUUUCUUCGUUGGCCUCGUGCGAAACAUUCCGACGAAGGUUUUGUGUGGUUCGAGCGGUGCGCAGGCGUCGUGGGUCGAGUGUGCGCGAGUGGUCGGGAGUCUGCCCGGGAGUUGGUGCGAGCGACGAGGUGGUUCGAGCGCGCGAGGGUUGGUGCUGCGCGUGGUUGGCUCGAGGCUCGUGCGAUUUCAGGCGAAGCCUUCGUCCGCGGGUUCGUGCGUGUGUGUGUGUGGUUCGAGUGCUGCGACGGGGGUGUCGCGGUGUUCGAGGGCUGCGCGCGAGAAAACCGGGGUCGCGUGUGUGAAGUUUGGGCGACAAAGACCGCACGGGUGUGUCGCGCGAAGUAGUAGCGUGCGUGUGCGUGACAGCGGAAGGCCACCGGAGUUCCGUCGCCGGAAUUUUGUGCCGGCGAAAGUCAGUGGUCCCAAUUUCAUAAGCGGCUCGUUCUAUUAAGUCAGCGAAAAUUCUCCGUUACAAGACUAGGUGUGCUGGUGUUGCUGCAUAUUCUCGAGCAUAUGGGGACUAGGCUUUGGUAUUUACAUUAAAGCAGUUUUAAAUAAGUAUUAUUGGUUUUUCUAAGACUUAUAUAAAUGGUUUGUGGUUUGAAGGAAAGGGGUCAUUGAUGAUUCCCGAGUUGUAUUUAUAUUUUAAUUCCGCUGCAUUUUAGUUUUCAAGAUGAUGUUUUAAGUUAUCGUUAACUCUUAUUAUGCCUUGCGUUCCAUCGCGGCGGUAACGCCCCCGAAGUCGACGCGACGUAGCAGUGGUAGACGCGUGUGGAUUUUGGGGGUGUUACAGUAGUCAUAUCUGAUAUUUUUUGUUAA